CUAACCUUUAAGAUUGUCCAGAGAGGCAGGCAAGGUCAGAAAUUAAUAAUGUAAUAAUAUGAUGGAUACUGUCCAUUUUCUGAUACCUACCUGCAUUCUCUUUGGAAUGCAGCUUUUUUGUAU
rfam:Lactococcus lactis subsp. cremoris TIFN6 scaffold57.1_0, whole genome shotgun sequence.